GACGAACGCUGGCGGCGUGCUUAACACAUGCAAGUCGAACGAUGAAGCUGGAGCUUGCUCUGGUGGAUUAGUGGCGAACGGGUGAGUAACACGUGAGUAACCUGCCCUGGACUCUGGGAUAACCCCGAGAAAUCGGAGCUAAUACCGGAUAGGACCUCGGAUCGCAUGAUCUGGGGUGGAAAGUUUUUCGGUCUGGGAUGGACUCGCGGCCUAUCAGCUUGUUGGUGAGGUAAUGGCUCACCAAGGCGUCGACGGGUAGCCGGCCUGGGAGGGGGACCGGCCACACUGGGACUGAGACACGGCCCAGACGCCUACGGGAGGCAGCAGUGGGGAAUAUUGCACAAUGGGCGCAAGCCUGAUGCAGCAACGCCGCGUGCGGGAUGACGGCCUUCGGGUUGUAAACCGCUUUUAGUAAGGAAGAAGCCGCAAGGUGACGGUACUUGCAGAAAAAGGACCGGCUAACUACGUGCCAGCCGCCGCGGUAAGAC
rnacentral:rRNA from 1 species